rnacentral:rRNA from 1 species
UACGUAGGGGGCAAGCGUUGUCCGGAGUUACUGGGCGUAAAGCGCACGCAGGCGGUCUCUUAAGUUUGGAGUGACAGUUGGUGGCUUAACUGCCAAAGUGCUUCGAAAACUGAGAGACUUGAGGGCUUCAGAGGGACACGGAAUUCCGGGUGGAGUGGUGAAAUGCGUAGAGAUCCGGAGGAACACCAAGGCGAAGGCAGUGUCCUGGGGAGUACCUGACGCUCAGGUGCGAAAGCCAGGGGAGCGAACGGGG